rnacentral:rRNA from 1 species
CAGCCGCCACGGGAAUACGAAGGGUGCAAGCGUUAAUCGGAAUUACUGGGCGUAAAGCGUGCGUAGGCGGUGAGUUAAGUCAGAUGUGAAAUCCCCGAGCUUAACUUGGGAACUGCAUUUGAAACUGGCAAGCUAGAGUCUUGUAGAGGGGGGUAGAAUUCCAGGUGUAGCGGUGAAAUGCGUAGAGAUCUGGAGGAAUACCGGUGGCGAAGGCGGCCCCCUGGACAAAGACUGACGCUCAGGUGCGAAAGCGUGGGGAGCAAACAGGAUUAGAUACCCGCGUAGUCCCUGUCUCUUAUAC